rnacentral:rRNA from 1 species
UAGGGAAUCUUCGGCAAUGGACGAAAGUCUGACCGAGCAACGCCGCGUGAGUGAAGAAGGUUUUCGGAUCGUAAAACUCUGUUGUUAGAGAAGAACAAGGACGUUAGUAACUGAACGUCCCCUGACGGUAUCUAACCAGAAAACCACGGCUAACUACGUGCCAGCAGCCGCGGUAAUACGUAGGUGGCAAGCGUUGUCCGGAUUUAUUGGGCGUAAAGCGAGCGCAGGCGGUUUCUUAAGUCUGAUGUGAAAGCCCCCGGCUCAACCGGGGAGGGUCAUUGGAAACUGGGAGACUUGAGUGCAGAAGAGGAGAGUGGAAUUCCAGGUGUAGCGGUGAAAUGCGUAGAUAUAUGGAGGAACACCAGUGGCGAAGGCGGCUCUCUGGUCUGUAACUGACGCUGAGGCUCGAAAGCGUGGGGAGCAAACAGG